GAUGAACGCUGGCGGCGUGCCUAAUACAUGCAAGUCGAACGCACUCUCGAUAAGAUUGAAGGAGUUUGCUCCUGAUUGGUAAACAUUUGAGUGAGUGGAGGACGGGUGAGUAACACGUGGGUAACCUGCCCUAAAGGGGGGGAUAACCUUUGGAAACAGUUGAUAAUACCGCAUAAAACCUAAAAACGCUUGGUGUAGGGCUGAAAGAUGGUUUCGGCUUUCACUUUAGGAUGGACACGCGCUGCAUUAGUUAGUUGGUGAGGUAAAGGCUCACCAAGACCGUGAUGCAUAGCCGACCUGAGAGGGUAAUCGGCCACACUGGAACUGAGACACGGCCCAGACUCCUACGGGAGGCAGCAGUAGGGAAUCUUCCACAAUGGGCGAAAGUCUGAUGGAGCAACGCCGCGUGAGUGAUGAAGGUUUUCGGAUCGUAAAACUCUGUUGUUGGAGAAGAAUGUAUCUGAUAGUAACUGUUCAGGUAGUGACGGUAUCCAACCAGAAAGCCACGGCUAACUACGUG
rnacentral:rRNA from 1 species